GGGGAAGUAAUUUUCACACCAGAUCUUCCUGAAUGAGGGAGCCCUCGCUUCAGAUAAGAGUCUGACUUUUGAGUUCUGGUCGUGUCCUGGUCUGGUGGUUCCAUGAGGAGGAGGAUCUUUGGUUCUGUGUUCAUUUCAGACAGUGAAGAAGGAGAUGGAUGGUUUUAUUUAUGGCAUAAAUUUACUAUGGAGAGCUCUUCGGAGAGAUGCUGCCUGUUGACGCCGAGGGAGACCACGAGGCGAUGGGACAUGCCAGGGACCAUGGAGAACAGAGGUGCUCUGAAAGCUUGCCUAUUGGUUCUUUUUUAUAUUUUUUUUUACUGACUUGCCCCUUAAAACUAGAGUUGUGUUUCUAAAAGAAACAGAAAGGUGUGAAGACAAGAAUAAAUAAUAAUUCUCUGACCAACUGAUGCUAAUAUAAGACUCCAAAUAAGCCAUAAAAAUGAGGAAAGUUCAUGAGUUUAUUGUAAAAUAAUGUACAUAGUGUACAGAGCCAU
rnacentral:lncRNA from 1 species